rnacentral:rRNA from 1 species
AGAGUUUGAUCAUGGCUCAGAUUGAACGCUGGCGGCAGGCCUAACACAUGCAAGUCGAACGGUAACAGGAAGCAGCUUGCUGCUUUGCUGACGAGUGGCGGACGGGUGAGUAAUGUCUGGGAAACUGCCUGAUGGAGGGGGAUAACUACUGGAAACGGUGGCUAAUACCGCAUAACGUCGCAAGACCAAAGAGGGGGACCUUCGGGCCUCUUGCCAUCAGAUGUGCCCAGAUGGGAUUAGCUUGUUGGUGAGGUAACGGCUCACCAAGGCGACGAUCCCUAGCUGGUCUGAGAGGAUGACCAGCCACACUGGAACUGAGACACGGUCCAGACUCCUACGGGAGGCAGCAGUGGGGAAUAUUGCACAAUGGGCGCAAGCCUGAUGCAGCCAUGCCGCGUGUAUGAAGAAGGCCUUCGGGUUGUAAAGUACUUUCAGCGGGGAGGAAGGUGUUGUGGUUAAUAACCACAGCAAUUGACGUUACCCGCAGAAGAAGCACCGGCUAACUCCGUGCCAGCAGCCGCGGUAAUACGGAGGGUGCAAGCGUUAAUCGGAAUUACUGGGCGUAAAGCGCACGCAGGCGGUCUGUCAAGUCGGAUGUGAAAUCCCCGGGCUCAACCUGGGAACUGCAUUCGAAACUGGCAGGCUUGAGUCUUGUAGAGGGGGGUAGAAUUCCAGGUGUAGCGGUGAAAUGCGUAGAGAUCUGGAGGAAUACCGGUGGCGAAGGCGGCCCCCUGGACAAAGACUGACGCUCAGGUGCGAAAGCGUGGGGAGCAAACAGGAUUAGAUACCCUGGUAGUCCACGCCGUAAACGAUGUCUACUUGGAGGUUGUGCCCUUGAGGCGUGGCUUCCGGAGCUAACGCGUUAAGUAGACCGCCUGGGGAGUACGGCCGCAAGGUUAAAACUCAAAUGAAUUGACGGGGGCCCGCACAAGCGGUGGAGCAUGUGGUUUAAUUCGAUGCAAC